rnacentral:rRNA from 1 species
CCUUCGUCCUAGUUCGCCAGCGAGUCAAGUCGGGAACUCGUAGGGAGACUGCCGGUGAACAAACCGGAGGAAGGGUGGGGAUGACGUACAAGUCAUCAGUCGGCCCUUAUGAGCGAGGGCUACACACGUGCUAACAAGUGGGCCGGUAACGUAAAGGGUUGACCCAACCCGCGGAGGGGGCGCUAACUCCCAAAAAACCGGUCGUAGUCCAGAUUGGAGUCUGCAACUCGACUCCAUGAAGCCGGAAUCGCUAGUAAUCGCGGAUCAGAACGCCGCGGUGAAUACGUUCCCGGGCCUUGUACACACCGCCCGUCACACCAUGGGAGUCGGCUGCACCAGAAGUAGGUUGCCUAACCUUCGGGAGGGCGCUUACCACGGUGUGGUCGAUGACUGGGGUGAAGUCGUAACAAGGUAGCCGUAUCGGAAGGUGCGGCUGGAUCACCUCCUUUCUG